GGCGUGCUUAACACAUGCAAGUCGAACCUUUAGGCCCUUCGGGGUACUCGAGUGGCGAACGGGUGAGUAACACGUGGGUGAUCUGCCCUGCACUCUGGGAUAAGCCUGGGAAACUGGGUCUAAUACCGGAUAGGACCACACACUUCAUGGUGAGUGGUGCAAAGCUUUUGCGGUGUGGGAUGAGCCCGCGGCCUAUCAGCUUGUUGGUGGGGUAAUGGCCCACCAAGGCGACGACGGGUAGCCGGCCUGAGAGGGUGACCGGCCACACUGGGACUGAGAUACGGCCCAGACUCCUACGGGAGGCAGCAGUGGGGAAUAUUGCACAAUGGGCGCAAGCCUGAUGCAGCGACGCCGCGUGAGGGAUGACGGCCUUCGGGUUGUAAACCUCUUUCAGUAGGGACGAAGCGAAAGUGACGGUACCUACAGAAGAAGGACCGGCCAACUACGUGCCAGCAGCCGCGGUAAUACGUAGGGUCCGAGCGUUGUCCGGAAUUACUGGGCGUAAAGAGCUCGUAGGUGGUUUGUCGCGUUGUUCGUGAAAACUCACAGCUUAACUGUGGGCGUGCGGGCGAUACGGGCAGACUAGAGUACUGCAGGGGAGACUGGAAUUCCUGGUGUAGCGGUGGAAUGCGCAGAUAUCAGGAGGAACACCGGUGGCGAAGGCGGGUCUCUGGGCAGUAACUGACGCUGAGGAGCGAAAGCGUGGGUAGCGAACAGGAUUAGAUACCCUGGUAGUCCACGCCGUAAACGGUGGGUACUAGGUGUGGGUUUCCUUCCUUGGGAUCCGUGCCGUAGCUAACGCAUUAAGUACCCCGCCUGGGGAGUACGGUCGCAAGACUAAAACUCAAAGGAAUUGACGGGGGCCCGCACAAGCGGCGGAGCAUGUGGAUUAAUUCGAUGCAACGCGAAGAACCUUACCUGGGUUUGACAUGCACAGGACGUACCUAGAGAUAGGUAUUCCCUUGUGGCCUGUGUGCAGGUGGUGCAUGGCUGUCGUCAGCUCGUGUCGUGAGAUGUUGGGUUAAGUCCCGCAACGAGCGCAACCCUUGUCCUAUGUUGCCAGCGGGUAAUGCCGGGGACUCGUAGGAGACUGCCGGGGUCAACUCGGAGGAAGGUGGGGAUGACGUCAAGUCAUCAUGCCCCUUAUGUCCAGGGCUUCACACAUGCUACAAUGGCCAGUACAGAGGGCUGCGAAGCCGCAAGGUGGAGCGAAUCCCUUAAAGCUGGUCUCAGUUCGGAUUGGGGUCUGCAACUCGACCCCAUGAAGUCGGAGUCGCUAGUAAUCGCAGAUCAGCAACGCUGCGGUGAAUACGUUCCCGGGAGUUGUACACACCGCCCGUCACGUCAUGAAAGUCGGUAACACCCGAAGCCAGUGGCCUAACCUUUUGG
rnacentral:rRNA from 1 species